GAUGAACGCUGGCGGCGUGCCUAAUACAUGCAAGUCGAGCGAACAGAUGAGGAGCUUGCUCCUCUGACGUUAGCGGCGGACGGGUGAGUAACACGUGGAUAACCUACCUAUAAGACUGGGAUAACUUCGGGAAACCGGAGCUAAUACCGGAUAAUAUAUUGAACCGCAUGGUUCAAUAGUGAAAGACGGUUUUGCUGUCACUUAUAGAUGGAUCCGCGCCGCAUUAGCUAGUUGGUAAGGUAACGGCUUACCAAGGCAACGAUGCGUAGCCGACCUGAGAGGGUGGUCGGCCACACGGGAACUGAGGCACGGUCCAGACUCCUACGGGAGGCAGCAGUAGGGAAUCUUCCGCAAUGGGCGAGAGCUUGACGGAGCAACGCCGCGGGAGUGAUGAAGGUCUUCGGAUCGUAAAACUCUGUUAGUAGGGAAGAACAAAUGUGUAAGUACCUAUGCACGUCUUGACGGUACCGAAUCAGAAAGCCACGGCUAACUACGUG
rnacentral:rRNA from 1 species